rnacentral:lncRNA from 1 species
GGAUCCUGCAAAUACAAAAAAUAUAUCUACUCACUUGUUAUAUAAAAUACAAUUGCCUCUUAAUACAAAUGUCAUCUUAAUGAAUAAACUGUAUAUUUGAUUUUUGAUUACAAGUAAUUUUUGUUAUUUGAUUAUUAAAUACAGUAGCAGUAUAAAUAGUAAAUCUCUGAUUAAUCGAGUCAAUGAAAUGGUGACAUCUCUUCCCAUUCACUCUAAACUUAUCUCCCCUAUUAACCAAGACAACGGUCGAGUUCAUUUCGUUUCGCACCAUCUUCGGACAUUAGUGCCUGACGUAGUACUCAAUAGUGAGUCAGCUAUUUCCUCCCUUAGACAGAACCUGAUAAACUUUUUGCAAGGGACUGUACAUGUAAAUUUUUUCAAUUGUAAACAUUAGAAAAUAUUAUCCAGAAGUAAUAAAUACUAAUAAAGUAAAGUUAUUCUAAAAUGACUUUAUUAAUAAUUUGGCAAAUCUUAAAGAAAUAAAAAUAUACAGACAAGAAAGAAUUAUCAUAUAUAAAGCUAAAUACAAGUAUUUAGUAAGGUUUCAAAAUAGUGAUUUUUAACACUGAUAACCUGUACUGUAUGCCUAACAAUACUGGUCAUCAAAGCCAUCCAAUUCUGCUUGUUAAGAAUUACAUGAGCUGCUCAAUUCUGCAUGUCAUAUGGAUCUAUUUAAAACUGUAUUGAUUGAGUUUUCCACAUAAUUUUCACAAUAGUUUAUCUGUAUUUUUUGUUUGUUAUAGUUUAAUGCAAGUUUUUCCUUCUGGUAUUACAAAUUUGAUUUUAAUAAUUUUUUUUCUAAUGAAUAGUAC